rnacentral:rRNA from 1 species
CGAACGCUGGCGGCGUGCCUAAUACAUGCAAGUAGAACGCUGAAGAGAGGAGCUUGCUCUUCUUGGAUGAGUUGCGAACGGGUGAGUAACGCGUAGGUAACCUGCCUGGUAGCGGGGGAUAACUAUUGGAAACGAUAGCUAAUACCGCAUGACAUUGAUUAUCGCAUGAUAAUUGAUUGAAAGGUGCAAUUGCAUCACUACCAGAUGGACCUGCGUUGUAUUAGCUAGUUGGUGAGGUAACGGCUCACCAAGGCGACGAUACAUAGCCGACCUGAGAGGGUGAUCGGCCACACUGGGACUGAGACACGGCCCAGACUCCUACGGGAGGCAGCAGUAGGGAAUCUUCGGCAAUGGGGGGAACCCUGACCGAGCAACGCCGCGUGAGUGAAGAAGGUUUUCGGAUCGUAAAGCUCUGUUGUAAGAGAAGAACGGGUGUGAGAGUGGAAAGUUCACACUGUGACGGUAUCUUACCAGAAAGGGACGGCUAACUAC